rnacentral:misc_RNA from 1 species
GUGAAUCAUCAAAUUUUUGAACGCAAAUUGCACUCUCUGGUAUUCCGGAGAGUAUGCCUGUUUGAGGGUCAGUUAAAAUAUAAAUCGGUGUGGUUGCUGCGUUUCGUGGUGACGCACCGCAUUUGGGUCGUAUUGCCUUCGGAUAAGUUACUUAAAAUUUUUCAUGAAUCUUUUCGUACGUAUUUAAAUGAAUUUACGUACGUUUGCGAUAUCGAAUACUAGGUUUGUUCCUCGUCUUG